rnacentral:rRNA from 1 species
CCUACGGGUGGCAGCAGUGGGGAAUAUUGCACAAUGGGGGAAACCCUGAUGCAGCGACGCCGCGUGAGUGAAGAAGUACUUCGGUACGUAAAGCUCUAUCAGCAGGGAAGAAAAUGACGGUACCUGACUAAGAAGCCCCGGCCAACUACGUUCCAGCAGCCGCGGUAAUACGUAGGGGGCAAGCGUUAUCCGGAUUUACUGGGUGUAAAGGGGGCGUAGACGGCAGCGCAAGUCUGGAGUGAAAUUCCAAGGCUUAAACGCGGAAGUGGAUUUGGAACUGUGCAAGUUGAGUGCAGGGGGGGGAAGCGGAAUUCCUAGUGUAGCGGUGAAAUGCGUAGAUAUUAGGAGGAACACCAGUGGCGAAGGCGGCUUACUGGACUGUAACUGACGUUGAGGCUCGAAAGCGUGGGGAGCAAACAGGAUUAGAUACCCGAGUAGUC